rnacentral:lncRNA from 1 species
GGAGAAUUCAGUUUAGGUCAAGUCACUAAACGAUGUCAAAUAUUUUGUCGAGUGUGUCUCGUCAUAAAAUUAGGAUUGACAUGUAUAAUUAACCAUAUGAAAUCUUAGAUAGGAAUCUAAAAUGAAAAUGAAAUGCCCCAGAUGAUAAUCAUUAUGAUCAUAUGAUAUAGUUUUUUUCUCCUUUGGUAAAUAUGAAGAUCAAUCAUGGCAAUGCCAUUUUAACAACGAAGAAUAAGCCACGAAUAUUCAGAGGAGAGGAGGAGCCCAGCAUUGUGUCUAAGUCCACCUUUCACAUCAGCUAUGUCCUUUGGAACUUUAUUUACAUAAAUUUGUGCGUGUGUGUUUUUGUUAACAGGUCAUCCUGCCCAUGCAUGUUGUUGUCCAUUCACAACAAUCACAGGCACAGCUACGCACCAAAUUCUUUGGCCGACAGUCCAAUCAAGUCACCUUUCCCGCUAGACUAGGGGUCUCCUUUUAUUGAGAUCCCCCCCACCAGGGUGGGUUGCGUGGACAAGGUGUGACUCCAAUAAAUAGACCGUCGCUUCAUUGUGAGAUUGGACAGACGAUCGACAUGGUCAUGACGAUGAUCGGAUUAAAUAAUUUCUCAUAAAUGCAAAUCGUAUAAUAGAGAUUCAUUAGAAUAUCUAGGCACAAACUCAGGAUACAGCAGUAAGAAUACAGUUUCGGAAGGAGAUUCUACACUAGAUCUACCACAAAAGCAGCGGAUCUAGCAAGAUCAUCCAAUAACCAGCCCCAAAAGGCUGGGAUACAAACCCUCAAGAAAAAGGGAAGAAACAAAACCUUGCAAAAGCAAGGAGCAGACAAACCCAACAAAAGUUGGGAGGAAAAACCUCUCCACAACAUAACGGGAGGAGAGAGGCCCGAAUUAUUAACCGAAUGGGGUGGUUCCAGGGGAGAUCCCCUGGAACCUAGGAACCUAGGAGAUUUACAGAUUUGGAGUUGAUUUUGGGUUGGGGAGUGAAGAAGAGUCGAGAAGAAAUGGUCCCCUUCUUUUGGUUCUUUUUUUCAUAAUGGUAACAUUUAACAUUUAGGUUUUGUUUGGUUUACUAAAGAAAUUGGCGAG